AAAUUGAAGAGUUUGAUCAUGGCUCAGAUUGAACGCUGGCGGCAGGCCUAACACAUGCAAGUCGAACGGUAACAGGAAGCAGCUUGCUGCUUUGCUGACGAGUGGCGGACGGGUGAGUAAUAUCUGGGAAACUGCCCGAUGGAGGGGGAUAACUACUGGAAACGGUAGCUAAUACCGCAUAACGUCGCAAGACCAAAGAGGGGGACCUU
rnacentral:rRNA from 1 species